AUGAUUGUGCCACUGUAACACUCCAGCCUGAACAACAGAGUGAGAUCCUGUCUUAAAAAAAAAGAAUGAUGACAGUUUGAGGAUUAGACUCCUGUAUCUCCUAAGCAGAGAGAGACAGAUAGAGAGAAAGUGAGAAAGGGUUAUCACUUGCCUGACCAGGUGGGUUGCAUACCUACCCUUAAUCUUGGUAUACUGGCAAGUGGUGAAGACAAAGGGAUGGAUAGAGGCAAGAGGAGGUGGGAAGAGAGGAAGAAAGACAGAGUGCAGAGGACACAAACCCCAUGGAACUUAGAACCACAUCCUCUAACAUGGCUGGGGACAAGCCUCUGACCAUUUUGUCAUGAUGUCUUCUUCUGAGCUGUUUUUGAUUUUUUUCUUUAUUACAAUAAAUAAUGGGGAAACAUAGUUUUAUAGAAACAACCAAACUUCAUCUUCUCUCAAAAGUGUUCCUUCUGGAUUCCUAUAAUGCUAAUGUCCAAACCACACCAUAGCGGAAAAACUGACAAAGGUGGGACAGACCUGAAUUUGAGCCCUGGCUUUGCCACGUAACAGUGUUUGAUAUUGAUCACAAUGGAUCCAUUCAUUUAUCCAUCUAAUCAUCUCAUCAUUGAGCCAACCACUCUGCCAGUCAGACAACUAUCUAUCAGUUUCGUCCAUGUACGAUUCUAAAGUGGCCGAAUACGUUAAUAUUUCUUCCUCAGUUUCUUUAUCUGUCAAAGGAGGUAAUAGCUAUUCUAUUAUAUUAGUCAAUUUAUUUUUAGAAAUCCCUGAAACAUGCCAAACUUAGUACCUAACAUUUAGUAUGAUCUCUAUAAAUAUUAGUACAUUUUCCCCUCUGUUACUGUCUUGCCACAACUAUCUGCAUAAAGCAUAUCACACACACACAGUCUCACACUCUAGUCAUGAAUGUACAUGUCUUAUUCUCCUUGCACAUAAAAUUUUCAGGGACAAGGACUACAUCUCACAGAGUAGAUUCCUUACAGCCUGGAGUUAUGCACAUAGAUCAGUAAGACUUCUGGGUUGAAUUUGACACAUAUUGAGAUAUAAUAGCUCUCAUUAUUUCUGCAUCUCUCUUUCUCUCUCCCCUUUUGAGGAUUUGGCCAAUUAGUCCAGGUGUUUUGGGAGCAUCAGCCACCAGCCUUAGGAUGCAUGACGCAUGGGGGACUGGGGAGGAGGGCACUCCAGCUCCUCUCAAGGAUCCACUGACAUUUCUAUUCCGUUGGCUCAGUGAUUCUGACCAGCUCUGCUGAAGCAUGAGUAAUGCUCCGACCCUCCCCGGCUCCAGAUCAGCCCCUGGGGACCUGCCAGUGAAGAUGAACCCGAAAGGCAGCAGUGAGUCCGGCUCAUCCCCAGAGCACUUGAGCACAGCACAGCUUGUCGGGCCAGGACAAAGGCCAUGCUCCUGGCACCUCCAGAUGGUUUCUGAGAUCCAUUCGCAGUGAUGUAUGUAGUUGUAUGUAUCAGUCAAGGAGCAGUUGGAAAAACAGAAAUUGUACUGGGUAUGAAACAAAAGAAAUGCAAUGCAGGGAUCUCAGAAGUCACCUGGGAGAUGGUGAGGCAAUCCAGCUAUCAGCAACAACACGAAGCCACUGUCAAUGCUAGGGCUGGAGUGAUUUCAAAGAGGGAGUUAAUUCUGAGGAAAUCUACAUUAGCCUUCAGGAGUUAGAUCUAGGUUGGGCCUCCAGGAAUGAUUCCCAGAAAUCACAGAUCUGACCCACCAUGGGAAUUUAUACCUAUGCAGUAAUCUGGAAGAAGGGAAUCAGAAGGCCACCACUGCAACUACUGAAUUCAAGGACAUGCCAGGGUAGCUAUGAUCCAGGAUGGGGGUGCUGCAAUUGCAAAGCUGCUGUGGCCACCAAAUCAACCACAUCUCAGCAGCUUUGAAGCUGGUGACCAAAGACUGGAAACAGAGUCCAGCUACAGCUGCCAUUGCAACCGCCCCUGCCCCCCAUGAGGCAGGUGAACUUCUGUUGGGCUCUCCAUGGUUGUACUUGAAGCAGAAAACAGCCUAAAGCAGCAAGCUGUGGCUUACUGCCACCUUCUAAAUCUCAUGCCUGGAGAUAAACCGUGCAAAGAAGAUAAAGACAUUUUUCCUUCAUGAAGCUUACGUUCUGGUAGGGGAGACAGCUUCUAAACAAAUAAACAAAGAAAUAAAAAUCCAGAUAAUACAUGGUAUGAAGAAAACAAAAGUAGAGUAAGUGGAUAGAGACUAUGCAGAAAUGUGUGUAAGAAGAACCCUUAUUUUCGAUAGAGUUGUCAAGGAAGUCUUUUUGAAGAGGUGACAUUUGAACAGAAAUCUGAAUGAGAAGGUAACAGCCAUACGAAUAUCUAAGAAGAAAAGCAAAUGCAAAGAGGGAACAGCAAGGGAAAAGCCCAAGAGAUGAGAAUGAGUUCAAUGUGUUCAGGAAACAUCAAGAAGACCAAUGAAGUUGGAGCAUAGUGAGAAAGGAAGAGAGUGGUAUGCAAUGAAGUCAGACAGCUAUGCAAGGUCAGGUUUAUGUAGAUCUUUGCAGAUCUUGGUAAGGAGUUGGGAUUUAAUUUUAAAUUAAAGUACUGAAAAGCCAUUGGUGAUUCUUAAGCAGGUGGCUGAUGUACCUGAUUUUAUGUUUUUAAAAGGCCAUUCUGGCUGUUGAGUGGCAAGUGGAUAAAUGGAAGAAUGAAUUAAAUAUUAUUGUGUUACUCCAUUAUGAGCAAAACCAUCUUGUUUGUGUAAGGUACAUUGAGAGUUCCAAGACACAGAAAGGAAAAUGUCCCUUUCAGCCAUAUCUCAGGAAUCUCCUCUUGAUCUAGAAAGACUGAAUUAAUGAAUUAAUCUCUUUGAAGGGAAAUGUUCCUUUGAGAGGUUAUUCCUGUUGGAUGAGGUCCCAUGCUGUUGGCAAGAGUUUAUAAAACACCUUUCUUUCUAACCAUCUCAGACAUGGUAACCCUGGAGAUUCAGGUACUGCAUCUUAAUUGUUGUCAUCAUAAACAGUUGUGUCUGGUUGCUGGGAGGGCCAGAUACAUGCGUCUGUAUUCCCUACCUAUGGCAACUGGAACAUCAUUUUCUAUUAUGUUCUGUUUUGUUCUGACAGACAAUUGAUUAAUUAGCACAAUCAGCAUCUCUCCUUGAAAACGGCCAUGGAUCAGUGUGUCCCCCUCCAUCAUGUAAUUGAAUCAGGGCCCACACACCUGUUUCCACUUCCUUUAAACAAACACCUGCCCAAUAACUAACACAAAGCAAUAUUAAAUCUCAACCUGCCUUGUGCAUAAACACAUCUUUCAACCUGACCUAAUCAAUGCUGAAAGCUAGGAAAAUGUAGGUUUCAGAGAAGACUGCCGGGUGAUCCUUACCUGCCAUCAGGUAAGCUCUGCAGCUCUGACCCAAUCCAAGGCUGCGUGACAGAGCUGGUCAUGGCCGUAUUGUACCAUGAUGCAAGGUUUGGUGGCUGGAGUCAGACCAACCUAGGACCAUACCUGGUUUUCUAGUGUGUGACACUGAGCAAUUCACUUAACCCCUUAACCCCCAAUUCACUUAAGUCCUUGUUUUCUCAUCUUUAAAAUGGGGACAAAAAUAUUUCCUCAAGUGUUUGUUGUUCUUAACAAUCUUCAUUAAAAAAUGAACAGAACCUUAAAGAACUGUGAGACUAUAUCAAAAGUUCUUAUAUUAGUCCUGGACACAGAGGAGAAAGAAAUUUACGCAGAAAUAUAUUUGAAUAAAUAUUGAAAUUUCCCCAAAUAUGGUAAGUAAAUCAUGCAUAUAAAGAGCUCCAUACAGUAUUUAGCACAUGGUAAGCAAGUGUUAGCAUUUUUUACUAUAAUAAGAGAAUAUUAAGAACAAUUGGGUUGGUAAAUUUCAGUUCUGGUUAAGAGGGAGAAAGUACAUGUUACUCUAUCUUUUUCACUAAUUACAGCUAACAGUCCUGAGCAGAAUAUAUGGAGCAACUAUCUGAGGAUGCUGAAAAGCAAAUAAUAGCAGGUCAACUGAGGAAAAGAAUAAAACGCUCAAUGGAAAUGAGUUCCUGAUUUUCCCCCCUCCCAUAUGUCCUGGCAUAGAUUCUAGAGAAGCCCAAAUCCUAAAGCUGUGAAAAAGGUGCUAACAGAGAGUUUCUAGAAAAACUCUGUCUCUUGGGUGAAAGGAGUGGGGAAGGAGCCCCUGGGAAGCAGAAAUCUUUUACUUCUCCCAGCCCCACUGCAGAUAUGUCUCAUAACAAAGUAGCUUUCCCAGGUGUAGCAAUAGCAGCAACAGUGGAUGUGGACUCAGAGGUGGCAGCUAGAGCAGCAGAGACUGGCGAUUCUUUCCUCUUGCCACUUUGCCCUAAGGUAGACUCAGUUGCAGGAAGUUAAUGACAGUGCAGGGAAGCUAAUGCAUAGGUUUCUAGCCAGAGCUGGGAAAAGGAGCCCAUGAAAGUCAGAGAGCUUGGAAGAUCCAUAGAUAAGAGGUAACUGGAGGAAAGAAUCUUUUAAGUCUGUGUAUAAUAUUAAUAUCUUAUGCUCAGCACUUAGCUGUCUAUACAUAGUGAUCAGAAGUAAGAUAGUAAAGGCUUUGAAAACGUAACUACAGUGUAGACCAUCACCCAGGUCCCAGACUGACUCCUGAGUGGUGCAUGCACAGAGUAAGACAGAUAAUAGAGAAAUGCUGUGAAAAAUAAACGGACUCUGGAACCACAGUGUGCAGGUGAGUCAAGACUAUGGUCUGAACCUAACUGAGUUGAUUGCUCAUUAAUAUAAAACAAGCAAACAAAAAUCAACAUUCUCCAGAAAAUUUUUAACAAAACCUAGAGUCUCAUAGCAUAAAAUCAAAAUGUCUAGGAUACAAUCUAAAAUUACUCAACAUACAAAGAGCCAGGAAAAUCUUAACAUCUUUCAAGGGAAAAAACAAUCAACAGAUGCAAACUUCAAGAUGACUCAGGUAUAGGAAAUAUCAUAAAGUCUUUAAAGCACCUUUCACAAUGAUGACCCAUGAAGUAAGGGUGAAUGCUCUGAAUGGAAAGAUAGGCAUUAUGAACAAAGAAAUAGAAGGUAUAUCAAAGAACCAAAUAGAAAUUUUAGAAUUGAAAGAUACAAUAAGAGAAAUAAAAAGUCCACUGGAGGACUUCAAAAUGAAGGUGAGAAAGGAAAGAGUCAAUGAACUUGAAGUUAGGUCAAUAAAAAUUAUUUAAUAUGGAAAACACAGAGGGGAAAAAAGUUUGAUAGAAGAUGAACAGGGUCUCAAAAUAUCAAUAUCAAAAUUCUUAUAUCAAUUUUCUUGCAGUCCUGAUGGAAAGGAGAAAGAAUUUUGUGCAGAAAUAUCAUUGAAGAAAUAAUGGUUGAAAAUUUCCCAACUUUGGAAAAGGAUAUAUAUUUAGCAGAUGGAAGAAGUUCAGGAAAUUUGAAAGAGGAUAAACUCAAAGCGAACCAUGUUCUGACUCAUCAUAAUCAAAGAGCAGAAAAUAAUACAAAACAAAAAUUUUACAAAAGGCCAGAGAAAAAUAGGAUUUUAUAUAUAAGGGAUCAAUGAUUUGAAAGAUCACAGAUUUCAUUAGAAACCAUGGAAACCAAAAGCAGUGUAAUAACAUUUUUAAAGCAUUGAAAGAAAAGAACUCUCAACCCAGAUUUUCUUUUUUUUUUUUGAGAAAACACUUAGACCCUGUCCUCUGCCUCUUGUUUUACCAAAUAGGGACACGAAACCGAAUAGGGACAGAAGAAUAAUUAUCAAUAGCAAAUGGCAGAUGCAGCAAAGCAACACCAAGAGUUGGCUUCACACUCAGGAGAGAAUGUUGUGCUUCCUCUCGUGGUUUUUGGUGCUCUACAUGCUCAGAAAAACUUCUCUAGUAAAGAACUACAGAAAUGAUCUCUGAAACUAUAGUCUUAACCCAAAUUUUCAUACCAAGUGAAAAUACCAUUCAGGCUUUAAUCCUGGGGACCAGGUGUGGAAAUAUAAAAUGUAUUUUUUCACCAUAUUAUCCU